rnacentral:rRNA from 1 species
CAAUAGCGUAUAUUAAAGUUGUUGCAGUUAAAAAGCUCGUAGUUGGAUUUCGGGGCAGCCUGGCUGGUCCGCCGCAAGGCGAGUACUGGUCAGCCGCCCUUCCUCUCGAAAGCCCCGACUGCUCUUUAUUGCAGUGGUCGGGUAGUUCGGGACGUUUACUUUGAAAAAAUUAGAGUGUUCAAGGCGGGCCUACGCCUGAAUACAUUAGCAUGGAAUAAUGGAAGAGGACCUCGGUCCUAUUUUGUUGGUUUCCAGGACCGAAGUAAUGAUUAAGAGGGACAGUUGGGGGCAUUCGUAUUUAAUUGUCAGAGGUGAAAUUCUAGGAUUUAUGAAAGACGAACAACUGCGAAAGCAUUUGCCAAGGAUGUUUUCAUUAA